UACAGAGGGUGCAAGCGUUAAUCGGAAUUACUGGGCGUAAAGCGCGCGUAGGUGGUUCGUUAAGUUGGAUGUGAAAUCCCCGGGCUCAACCUGGGAACUGCAUUCAAAACUGUCAAGCUAGAGUAUGGUAGAGGGUGGUGGAAUUUCCUGUGUAGCGGUGAAAUGCGUAGAUAUAGGAAGGAACACCAGUGGCGAAGGCGACCACCUGGACUGAUACUGACACUGAGGUGCGAAAGCGUGGGGAGCAAACAGG
rnacentral:rRNA from 1 species